rnacentral:tRNA from 3 species
GCCGGGAUGGCGGAAUUGGUAGACGCACCGGACUCAAAAUCCGGCGGUCGCAAGGCCUUGAGGGUUCGAGUCCCUCUCCCGGUACCA